UUAAAACUUAUUUUUAAUUUUUUUAAAUUUUAAUUAAAAUUGACCAAAUUUUGAAAACACCAUUUUCAUACUUUCAAAAAAAAAUUAAACCAAUUUUUUUCUCCCAUCUCAAGCUCGCGUACAGAGACCUCUCUCAAGCUUCAAUGGCUUCUCAUAGGUCUCUCCAAAUUUUCUUCAGAAGCAGGUGUAUAUUUUGAUGGAGGUGCAGGAAAUUCUGAAGUACAGACCACCACUUUACAAAGCACGGAUGGAACUUUGACUGAUAGUGUAGAGUUCAGUAUUUCUAGAACUCAUAUACGUGAAAUGGCUCAUGUUCGUGAUGAAAUUCUGACCAUAUAUGGAGAGCUAGUUGACGAUAGUGAGAUUAAUUAAAGACAUUAGUUGAUUGUUAUGACUCGUUUAAUACUUUACUUUAAAUUUGGACAAUUAUCAGUUCAUAUGUUUUUAUUUUACUAUGUAAACUUUUUUGAUUUUGUGUUAUCUCGUGGAUAGAUAUUAAGUUUUAAAAUUUGAGAUUA